GACGAACGCUGGCGGCGUGCUUAACACAUGCCAGUCGAACGGAAAGGCCCUGCUUUUGUGGGGUGCUCGAGUGGCGAACGGGUGAGUAACACGUGAGUAACCUGCCCUCGACUUUGGGAUAACUUCAGGAAACUGGGGCUAAUACCGGAUAGGAGCUCCUGCUGCAUGGUGGGGGUUGGAAAGUUUCGGCGGUUGGGGAUGGACUCGCGGCUUAUCAGCUUGUUGGUGGGGUAGUGGCUUACCAAGGCUUUGACGGGUAGCCGGCCUGAGAGGGUGACCGGCCACAUUGGGACUGAGAUACGGCCCAGACUCCUACGGGAGGCAGCAGUGGGGAAUAUUGCACAAUGGGCGGAAGCCUGUUGCAGCAACGCCGCGUGCGGGAUGACGGCCUUCGGGUUGUAAACCGCUUUCGCCUGUGACGAAGCGUGAGUGACGGUAAUGGGUAAAGAAGCACCGGCUAACUACGUG
rnacentral:rRNA from 1 species